CGAUUCCGGGAGUAACGAACGGCCGCGGCGGCGACAGCUCUAGCUUCGGAGGAGCGGUUGCGGAGGAGGAAGAAGAGCAGGGAAAGGCGGGAGUCACAGGCGGGACCCCAGCCAUGGGUCCGCGGAUUUAGAGCAGCGGAAGCCACCGGCCCUGUGCCGAGCUGGCUGCUGUUCCUUCCUGUGGCCCCCAUGGCUGAGGACUGGCUGGACUGCCCAGCCCUGGGCCCAGGCUGGAAGCGUCGUGAGGUCUUUCGAAAGUCAGGAGCCACCUGCGGACGCUCAGAUACCUAUUACCAAAGCCCCACAGGAGAUAGGAUCCGAAGCAAAGUUGAACUGACCCGAUACCUCGGCCCUGCGUGCGACCUCACCCUCUUCGACUUCAAACAAGGCAUCUUGUGCUAUCCAGCUCCCAAGACCAGUUCCUUGGCCAUCCCCAGCAAGAAGCGUAAGAAGGCUUCAAGGCCAGCCAAGUCUCGGAAACGUCAGGUUGGAUCCCCGAGGGAUGAGAUCAGGAAGGAGGCCCCAAAGGAUGAAACCAAGGCUGAUGCUGACACAGCCCCAGCUUCACUCCCUGCGCCUGGGUGCUGUGAAAAUUGUGGAAUCAGCUUCUCAGGGGAUGGUACCCAAAGGCAGCGGCUCAAGACACUCUGCAAGGACUGCCGAGCACAGCGAAUUGCUUUCAACCGGGAGCAGAGGAUGUUUAAGCGUGUGGGCUGCGGGGAGUGUACAGCCUGCCUGGUAACUGCGGACUGCGGAGCCUGUUCCACCUGCCUUCUGCAGCUGCCCCAUGAUGUGGCCUCGGGGCUGUUCUGCAAGUGUGAGAGGAGACGGUGCCUCCGGAUUGUGGAAAGGAGCCGAGGGUGUGGAGUAUGCCGGGGCUGUCAGACCCGAGAGGACUGUGGCCGUUGCCGAGUCUGCCUUCGCCCUCCACGCCCUGGUCUCAGGCGCCAGUGGAAGUGUAUCCAGCGGCGCUGCCUAAGGCACCUUGCCCACCGGCUUCGUCGCCACCAUCAGCGAUGUCAACGACACCCUCCCCUACCUGUGGCUCCCCCCGCUGGUAAACGUGGCCACCACAGGGGAGGCUGUGACACCAAGAUGACUGCCAGGGAGCGUCCCCAAACCCAGCCCCCACCUCCAAUUCCUCCAUCGCAGCCUCCAGAGUCACCAGAGCUGCACCCCAGAGCCCUGGCCCCCUCGCCACCUGCCGAGUUCAUCUAUUACUGUGUAGACGAGGACGAGCUACAGCCUUACACGAAUCGCCGACAGAACCGCAAGUGUGGGGCCUGUGCAGCCUGCCUACGGCGGAUGGACUGUGGCCACUGCGACUUCUGCUGUGACAAGCCCAAAUUUGGGGGCAGCAACCAGAAGCGCCAGAAGUGUCGUUGGCGCCAGUGCCUGCAGUUUGCCAUGAAGCGGCUGCUGCCAAGUGUCCAGGCAGGGUCUGAGGAAGGGGCAGGGCCACCCCCACCUUGCCCUCAUCGAAAGAGACCUGGCUCUACUCAUCAGCUCCGUCUGGGCCAGACCCUGAAGCCCCCCUUGGCCACACCCACAGUCCUGCCAGACCAUGCUCAGACUCCAGUGAAGCAGGAAACAGACAGUGGCUUUGUGCUGCCCCCACCUGGCACUGACCUUGUGUUUUUACGGGAAGGUGCAAGCAGUCCCGUGCAGGUGCCUGGCCCUGCCCCAGCUUCCACAGAAGCCCUGCUGCAGGAGGCGCAGUGCCCUGGCCUGACUUGGGUUGUGGCCUUACCUCAGGUGAAGCAAGAGAAGGCGGAUGCCCAGGAUGACUGGACACCGGGCACAGCCAGCCUGACUUCUCCUGUAUUGCUGCCUGGCUGCCCCAGCAAGGCAGUAAACCCAGGCCUGCCACCUGUGAAGCAAGAGCCACCUGACCCUGAGGAGGACAAGGAAGAGAGCAAGGAUGACUCUGCCUCCGAUUCAGCCCCAGAGGAGGAGGCAGGAGGGACUGGCACGCCUGUGAUCACGGAGAUUUUCAGCCUGGGUGGAACCCGCCUCCGGGACACAGCAGUCUGGUUGCCAAGGUCCAAGGACCUUAAAAAACCUGGAGCUAGAAAGCAGUAGACUGGAGGCUUCUGCAGACUAUAGGAUUCAAGGUGAUAUUUACAGACCGGCUUUAUGAGAGAACACUGAUCUACUCAGAGGCUGGACCAUAGAUCCAGAGGCUUAUGUAGGAGUCAGUAGGAACUGGGAAAACCUACCACCAAACCAGACAAGCAGUACUCUGAUCAGUACUUUGAGCUUAUAGAGGAAGUAAGCAGAAAAGGAAGAGAAAGAAUAGAAAUGUGGUGUAUCUGCUCCAACUGGUCCAAUCCCAAGGAGCUUGAGUGUGAUAAGUGUGGACUUUAGGGGUGGGGGAGGGGACGUAUUUAAAGCCCCAACAGAAGAGUCUAAACAAGCCAUCUUCAUAAAUGAUUUUAAAUGGCUUCUGGAUGAGACCUGGCAGUGUGUCUAGUCAUUUUCUCAGGGAGACAGCAGUUGAAAAUGUAAUGUGAAUAAAUGAGGAUCUGCUGUUUAUUGAGUUCCUCCUAUUGACUAUUUAAUCCUCAAAACAGUUUUUAUAGGAGACAUUGAUUUUGCCCAUUUUCACAGAUGGGAAAACAGACUUAAAGACAUUAAAUAACUUGUCCAUUGUCACACGGCUAGUAUGGACAGAGCUUAGAAUCAAACCCAAGUUGUAAAAACCUUUUCUUUAAUCAGUCACUAAAUUGUAAACUGUAAUCUUGUAUUCAAUAAUGUAUAAUAAUAUAGUAAUAGAAUUUUCCAGUGACCUUUUAAACAAGGUGGAUUACUCUAAGCGAUUCUUUACACUGCUGCCUAUAGCAUGGUUUAGGGAGGCCCAAGGAUGGGGAUGGGGUGGAUGGGGUCACCUUAUCAGAACACCUGUGCAUCCAGAGAGUGGGUUCUUCCCAGACCUCUGGCCCUGUGUUAGGAUUCCUCAAAUCCUAAAGAGCAUCCUUCUUUACUGGUUGCUGUCCAUUUUGCUUGUUACCCUCCCUCCCUCCUCCUCAGCCAAAGUAGCCUGCAGAAGUAAAGCUGUUAGCCUAGCUCAUCUUUGCUGACAACUUGUGUCCUCUGCCCCUUGAUGACCCUUGUGCUUGGUUUCUGCUCUCAGCCCCUGUCUGCUAAGUCUGAGUUCUUGCUUCAGAUCCUCCCAAAGGGCCGGUCAUGGCCCAGCCCUCACAUCCCAGUUCUUCUUAAAACGAUUAAGACUUGUGAUUCAUUACUUAGCUAUCUUUAUAGGGCCUGGACUGAGUAGGUGCCUCCUUAAAUCUUGUAGCCUAUGUGCCUCCCUUGCCUUAUGCUAGUCCUAGCUCUGCAGUUUUAGGUAAUUCAUAUGUAGAUUGGCCACUUCCUAACCAUUAGUUCAAUAGAGCCCUCUGCCACUUCCCCUGUCUUUUCUUUCGCCCUGUCCUACCUACUUCAGUUAAAGUCAAGACUGGUUAAUUUUCUCAUAUUGUUUUGCUCCCCCCAGGAUCCAUCUACGCAACCCAAGUAUUCUGUGAUGUCCUAAGUGAAACUGAUUGGCAUUCUGAUCCAUGAUAAGAUCUGGUUCCUAUGUGUAUCAGGGUACAAUCAGAAAAGCAGCAUCACUAUAAGAUUAUAUAUAUAUAUAUAUGUAUAUGUAUAUGUAUAGAUGUGUGUAUGUGUGUGUGUGUGUGUGUGUGUGUGUGUAUUAAGGGAUUUGUUAUAGGGAUUUGACUUAAUGAAAUUGUGGGAGCUGGUUAAACAGUCACUGUAAGGCUGUUGUCUUUGCAUCUAAUGCUGGAGCUUGAAGUCUGCAGGGCAGGCAAUCGGGAAGGGAAGAUGGAUAUAAAGUGUGGGAGACCGAGGAUAUGUUGGCGCCCAAGAGCACAAGCUGGAACCCACAAGGAUGGCCUCGAACCCAUGUCAGUCUCUCACCACCUUCAACUUCGAUGAUGUGGGUGUCCUGCAGAAGAAGCUGGUGCCCUUCAUCACAGAGUUAAAUAUGCAUCUGGCCCAGGAAUUAGAGAAGAUCCCGGGGAAGGUGGAGCAGCUGCAGGCCUGGCUGCAGGCCUGACUGCUGCCCCACACCAACGAGGCUACGUAAACUCUUAACAGUAAAUGAAAAUGAGUAUUUUGCCGAACUGCAAUUGAAAGAAGAAGCAUUAUAGGAGAAAAAAACAAAAUAAGAGUUAUUAAAAGAGAUUAUUAAAAGAGAAGAAAGAGACAUUAUUUUGUGGCUGAAAAGCUGAACCAGCAAUUCAGGAAAUGGAAUCCAAAUCUAGAAACUUAACACAUACAAAACCCGAAGUGGGUGGAUUACAAAUGAUUAAGGAAUGCUACUUUACAGUAAAUUGCGGCCUUAAUGUGGUA